UACGUAGGGUCCAAGCGUUAUCCGGAAUCACUGGGCGUAAAGCGUGCGUAGGUGGCGUGUUAAGUGUGAUGUUAAAUCGUGGGGCUCAACCCUAUCGAUGCAUCGCAUACUGGCAUGCUAGAGGGAAGCAGAGGCAAGUGGAAUUUGUAGUGUAGCAGUGAAAUGCGUAGAUAUUACAAGGAACACCAAUGGCGAAGGCAGCUUGCUGGGCUUCUUCUGACACUGAGGUACGAAAGCGUGGGGAGCGAACAGGAUUAGAAACCCCCGUGAUCA
rnacentral:rRNA from 1 species